GCUCUGUUGGUCUAGUGGUUAUGACGCUCGCCUCACACGCGAGAGGUCCCCAGUUCAAUCCUGGGACAGAGUA
rnacentral:tRNA from 1 species